rnacentral:rRNA from 1 species
GACGAACGCUGGCGGCGUGCUUAACACAUGCAAGUCGAGCGAUGAAACACCUUCGGGUGCGGAUUAGCGGCGAACGGGUGAGGAACACGUGAGGAAUCUGCCUUCCACUCUGGGAUAACUCCGGGAAACCGGGGCGAAUACCGGAUACUUUCAACUGGCGGCAUCGCCGGUUGAAGAAAGUUUUUCGGUGGAAGAUGACCUCGCGGCCUAUCAGCUUGUUGGCGAGGUAAAGGCUCACCAAGGCGACGACGGGUAGCCGGCCUGCGAGGGCGACCGGCCACACUGGGACUGAGACACGGCCCAGACUCCUACGGGAGGCAGCAGUGGGGAAUAUUGGGCAAUGGAGGAAGCUCUGACCCAGCGACGCCGCGUGAGGGAUGAAGGCCUUCGGGUUGUAAACCUCUUUCAGCAGGGAAUAAGCGAAAGUGAAGGUACCUGCAGAAGAAGCACCGGCUAACUACGUGCCAGCCGCCGCGGUAA